rfam:Streptococcus agalactiae LMG 14747 ctg7180000010163, whole genome shotgun sequence.
AAUGAUGGUUUGGUCGCUUUUCAUUAUAAGUCAUAUGGAAUUUUUUGUGUACACUCAAAAAGCCCUACAACCUCUGCAGGGGAGGUACCCACUAUAGAAAUUAUAGAGCC